GACGUAGGGUGCGAGCGUUGUCCGGAUUUAUUGGGCGUAAAGAGCUCGUAGGCGGCUCGUCGCGUCAGCUGUGAAAUCUCGUGGCUUAACUGCGGGCUUGCAGCUGAUACGGGCGGGCUAGAGUUCGGUAGGGGAGACUGGAAUUCCUGGUGUAGCGGUGAAAUGCGCAGAUAUCAGGAGGAACACCAAUUGCGAAGGCAGCUCGCUGGGACGUUACUGACGCUGAGACGCGAAAGCGUGGGGAGCAAACAGG
rnacentral:rRNA from 1 species